rnacentral:rRNA from 1 species
GACGAACGCUGGCGGCGUGCUUAACACAUGCAAGUCGAGCGGUAAGGCCCUUUCGGGGUACACGAGCGGCGAACGGGUGAGUAACACGUGGGUGACCUGCCCUCAGCUCUGGGAUAAGCCUGGGAGACCGGGUCUAAUACUGGAUAUGACUCCAUGACGCAUGUUGUGGGGUGGAAAGCCUUGUGCGGCUGAGGAUGGGCCCGCGGCCUAUCAGCUUGUUGGUGGGAUGAUGGCCUACCAAGGCGACGACGGGUAGCCGGCCUGAGAGGGCGACCGGCCACACUGGGACUGAGACACGGCCCAGACUCCUACGGGAGGCAGCAGUGGGGAAUCUUGCGCAAUGGGCGAAAGCCUGACGCAGCGACGCCGCGUGAGGGAUGACGGCCUGGUGUAAC